UUCACCUGUUUAUCAAAACAUGGCUUAUUGAAAAUAAUUUUAAGUCAAUCUGCCCAAUGAUUAUAAAAUUAAAUGGCUGCAGUAUAACUAACUGUACAAAGGUAGCAUAAUCAAUUGUUUUUUAAUUGAAAACUUGUAUGAAAGAAUUAAUGAGAUAUAUACUGUCUCAUAUAUAUAAAAUGAAUUUAAAUUUUUAGUAAAAAUGCUUAAAUAAUUUUAUGGGACGAUAAGACCCUAUAGAAUUUUAUAUUAAAAUUUUAUUAAUUAUUUAGUUAAAAUUUUAAUAUUUAGUUGGGAGGAUUAGUAAAUAAAAUUAACUUUAUUUUAAAAAUAAACUUUGAUUUAAGAAUAAAAUUUUGAUUUUAUAUUAUAAAUUAAAAGAAUAAAUUACCUUAGGGAUAACAGCGUAAUAUCUUUUUAAAGAUCAUAUUAAUAAAGAUGUUUGCGACCUCGAUGUUGAAUUAAGAUAAAUUUUAAAUGAAGAAAUUUAAAAAUUAAGUCUGUUCGACUUUUAAAAUCUUACAUGAUUUGAGUUCAAAUCGACGUGAGUCAGGUUGGUUUCUAUC
rnacentral:rRNA from 1 species